AUUACUUCCAGGAAAUGAUUUUAUUUCACAUACACAUAAUAAUAGCCAUCCAAUGGGGAAGCACAGGGGUAGGGUUGGAUACUGGGCAGGGCUGACGCGAUUUGGGUACGAGGGGAUUAAAAAAAGUAUAAAAAAAAUAAAACUGAUAAUAUUUCAAGCAGGGAUAAAAUACACAUUAAGUAGAGAGACAAGAGAUUUGGUGAAUAAAAAGCCGGUAAAAGGGGGAACAAGGGUAGCUGAAAUGAGAGAGUGGAUAGUAAAGGAAGGGAGAGGGAAUAAGAUACUCAGGGGUGGGGUUUGGAGAGUAAGUGCUGGGUAAAGAUAAAGGUAAGGUCAUAGAAAAUUCAGAGGGAUGAGAGUGGAGAGAACAUAUAGUUUACAUAGUAUUAGAAAAGACAUUAUAGGAAACUUUAAACGGGCUACCAGAUGAGUCCAUCUGUAGAGCACUGGAUGAAAAGUAGAUGAGAGUGAGGAAAAAGGUAUUGUAGUAGGGAAAAUUUUACAGAAGGGGCGCUAUACUGACAAGAAGCAUUCCAUUUACACAUUUUUUAGAGAGCAGUGGAGCAUACACAGUGGUAAUAUGUUUAGAAUAAAGGGAAAUAUAAGAGAAAGGGAGAACGAUUAAAAGUGGGUCAAAUACCAAAUGAGAAAGAGAGGAGGAAUGUUCCUUCUAGAUAUGUAAUGUAAUGUUAUAUCUAUAUAUAUAUACAUAUAUAUAUACAUAUAUAUAGAUAUGCUGCCUUUCUCAAGAGCUACAAGAACCUUAUACCUUCUGACAAUAGCAGAGAGCUAUUAAUGGCCCUUUUGCAGGAAAUGUACAAUUUUCCCCCAAAGAGGUCAAUUCUUGUAUGAAAUCAACAAAAAUACCUCUGCCUCUGUGCGUUUUUAAAUCUGUACCUUUCACCUCUACAUAUAUUCUAUCCCCGGUUUUUAAACCCCAAUAAAUGUUUACUGAAUUUGAUGUUAAACUUAAUGUGCACUUGUCCAACACUAAUACGUGGAUGAUUCAGUGCUGCACGCUGCGAGCAUCUGUAACCUGGUGCAGGCAUACUGAUCAUAUCCUGUGUCAAAAUGCACACAAUCUGCUCCGGAUCUGCCCCUGGAUCCUCCACAAUUCUGCUGUACCAAAUCUAGAUUUAUACAGGCUUCUAACAUGAUGUAAGUUUAGUUCAGUAGAACAAAGAUGGGUUCACAUUUUGUGACCAUAUUUUGGACUAAUAAGCAGUAAAAUUGCAGCCAUGUGAAACUGGCCUUAAAGUGAAUAUUUAGUCUUGAAUAACAUUUGUUUGUGGAAUAGUUUGGAAAUACAUUGCUGAUUAAUUUCUUAAUCACUAUAGAAGUCGGAGUUCCAUUUUUUUUUUAUACAGAUCCCACAGAUUCAUAAGAUAAAAUUUGCCUUGUAGCAACCACUAAGAUGAGCUUAGCCCCUUACUAGGUUGCACUAGAUAGUAUAAUAGUGUUCAGUAGGCUCUUAAGCUCCCUCUAGUGGCAGCUGCUGGUAGCCAGAAUUUCAUAUUUUAAACUUAUGACUGUGCAGGGGAUUCUUAGCUCUGAAUCGGAAUAACCGAGCUCCAGCCUCUAUAAUAUUAGGAAAUUUAUCAGCUCUGAAUGUUACAUCUUAUGACAUGGUAAUAAAAGGUGGACCUUCGCUUUAAACUGAUGCUGGAGGAAUACCAGCUUCCAGGACCACUGAUAUCAAUACGGGAACCACAGAGUGAGCUCUCGUAGGCUUUGUUUUUGGGGAAAAUUUAAGAAUGGGCUAACAUGGUAUUAUCAAAAAAGGAAGCAGCAGCACCUUUUUCAGGGUUAAUUGAAGGUUUGGAGCCCAACCUUCUGAGGCUUGCACUCUUUCAUUUUCUGCUUUAGAGUACGACCACAUGGUUAGGUUUCUGCAUGCAUUUUUGGAAGCCAAAAUCAGGAGUGGAUCAUAAAAGAAUAGAAAGUAUAAAGGACAGAUAUGAUCUCUCCUCUUUUUUUAAAUUCACUCCUGAUUUUGCCUUCCAAAACUGCAUUCAGAAACCUGACCGUGUGGCCCUACCCUUAGCUGUGCUGCGCCACUUUGUUGAUUUUUGCUAUUAUCAAACCAUUUGAUAAUGGGGCUGUCUAUAACAAAUUGGAGUUAGUUGUGUCUACACGCAAUAAAAAUGUUUACUUGCAUAUUUUUUUCUUGUCUUAUGUAGGACAAGUGCAUCUUAAGUCAUCAGUAUUGCCUUAUUGGGUCAUGAAGGGAUUUAAUGGCUUAAAGUUUUCGAGUUAUAAUGAUUUUUAAGCAAGUGAUCACCGGCUCUCUGAUGUCUCCAUCAUCCGGUCCCCGCACUGUUUUCUUCCUGUGGUGCAUGGUCACAAGACCCGCUCCAGUCACUCACUGGAUUUAAAGGUGAUCUGGCCGCAAGCAGCACGUCAUCGCUGAAGCCAGUCAUUGGCUAAAGCGGGGCAUGUGACCAUUCACCACUGGAUGUGAACCGUGCAGGGAUUGGAAGAUGGAGGCAGUGAGGAGAACUGCAGCGGCAUGGAGCAGGUAAGUAGGAAUCUUAGGUUUCAGCAGGCAGGCUGCGGGCACUUGCUUAAAAAUCACUAUAACUGGAAAACCCCUUUAAUUCCUGUAAUACUGAGAAAAUGAAAUUCAUUCCUGAAAUACUGAAUGGAGUGUUGUAAUCCAUAGUCAUAUAAGCAUGUAUUAUAAAUUGGUUUACUCAAAGAAAAACUACUUUUUUUUUUUUCGUGGACAACACCCACAUGUGAAUCCCAUUUUCAAAAUCCCAGCUCCUCUCACUUCACCACUACAGAAUUAUAGAAAGGCACUAUGCAGGCUGGUAUUAGUCAGUCAUGAAACCCUCUUGCUGGGAUGUUUCAGGGAUGAUUUCCAGUUAGGAUGAAUCCCUUUUAUUGUGUUCAGUUUGAAGCAAAUUUAACGUUUAAGACACUCCCUACUGUACACUAAAUCCUCCUUAACAUUUCCAAUAUGCUAAAAACCAUACAGAAGCAGAGUAAAAUAGUAACGUUUUCUACAAAUGGCCAUUGAUGAGCUUUCUACAUCCCUUAACACCCCACCCUACUAACACACUCUAAAACAAUUCCUAAAAAAGUGGGAACACAAAAAAAAAGUGCAUCAUGCUUUAAUGUUGGUUUUCAGAUGUGUUUUUUUUUUUUAAAUAAAAGCAAAGCACCUAAAGGGUUAAAAUUCCAAAAUCUUAAAUCCACUCAUUAAAUAUAGUUGUUAACCAGCAGCAGAAAAAUGAUAUUUGUCCAGCAGUCAGAAAUAAUCAUGUUAAAUGACCAUUGAUAAACGUGGAAACAGAAAUAUCACCUUCUCUAUGAAAAGUAAAAAAUUUGGCAAAACUCAAAUAUUUCUGUGGUGGUAGAAAUUUCCUAAUCAUUAAUACCAUGGCAUUAGAAAUAUGAAAUAAUAAUUAAUAUUUAUUUCCAUUAAUCAGUUUAGAAAGUUUUUUAAAUCAUGUCAAUCCACUGUGAACAAAAAGAUCAAUUCCAAUUUCUGGAGUAUUUUUGUCACUGUUGUAAUGCCAAAUUUCACUUUCAUAGUUACAUGCUGAAUACAAUGUUUUUUGUUUUUUUAUCAAAUUCUAAAAAUCUGAUUCUGCAGACCUAAGUGAAA